GAUGAACGCUGGCGGCGUGCUUAACACAUGCAAGUCGAACGGAAAGGCUCCUGCUUGCAGGGGUACUCGAGUGGCGAACGGGUGAGUAACACGUGGGUGAUCUGCCCUGCACUUCGGGAUAAGCCUGGGAAACUGGGUCUAAUACCGGAUAGGACGAUGGUUUGGAUGCCAUUGUGGAAAGUUUUUCGGUGUGGGAUGAGCUCGCGGCCUAUCAGCUUGUUGGUGGGGUAAUGGCCUACCAAGGCGUCGACGGGUAGCCCGCCUGAGAGGGUGUACGGCCACAUUGGGACUGAGAUACGGCCCAGACUCCUACGGGAGGCAGCAGUGGGGAAUAUUGCACAAUGGGCGCAAGCCUGAUGCAGCGACGCCGCGUGGGGGAUGACGGCCUUCGGGUUGUAAACUCCUUUCGCUAGGGACGAAGCGCAAGUGACGGUACCUGGAGAAGAAGCACCGGCUAACUACGUG
rnacentral:rRNA from 1 species